rnacentral:rRNA from 1 species
GACGAACGCUGGCGGCGUGCCUAAUACAUGCAAGUAGAACGCAGUUGCGAACGGGUGCUUAAAGCGUAGGUGACUACAUAUAAGAGGGGGAUAACUAUUGGAAAAGAUAGCUAAUACCGCAUACUAGUAAAUGGCCAUGCGUUGUAUUAGCUAGUAGGUCGGGUUAGUGCCUACCUAGGCAACGAGACAUAGCCGACCGUAGAGGGGGGUCCGCGAAGCGGGGACGGAGACACUGGCCACACUCCUUAGGGAGGCAGCAGUAGGGAAGUUUCGGCAAUGGGGGGAAACCCGAACGAGCAACGCCGCGUGAGUUAAGAAGGUUUUCGGAUCGUAAAGCUCUGUUGUUAAGGAAGCGGUACUUAACCAGAAAGGGACGGCUAACUACGUGCCAGCAGCCGCGGUAAUUC